UAAAAAAUGUCCUAGUUCUCGAUAGCUUGUUCUCGGUACUUGUCUAAGCGGUCUCUCAUCUGCAACACGUACUGAAGAAUGCCUUGCUCACCUGCUGCAGAUGUUGUAGGGGCUUCCCAGCUCUUCCUCAGCAGAUCUAGUGGAAUCUGGACAGAGCAUCUGUAAAACAAUUAUAAAGUGAAAACCCUGUUGAUGCUUGGGGUACCUUUCUAUAUGCAAACAACAUGAACGUUGUUAAAAUUUAGUAACUGAAUGUUCCUGACAAGCGGCGUGGACAGAAUAAUAGUAAUGGGAUUACUUAAAUUGCGAGAGCACAAAUGCCAUUCCAAUUAGUGGGGCAGUAGAAAUAGGCCUGUGAAUCUCAUAUCCAAUACCAAUCUGGCAUAAACAGUGACCCUAUCCUGCCAGGGUGAUAACUAAGCAUGAAGAGACUGGUAGGGCACCUAAAUCCUCCUCCCCUAUAUGAUGAACACAGACUGGGUAAGGCUUAUGAGGCUUGUUCACAGUGAUAUGAUCUAGGGGUGGUCCAACAUUACGUGAAAGAGAACCGUUAGUAUAUGACAAUGCCAUCUGAAAAAAUGAGGAAUGAGUGGCAUUCAAAGAACGAUUGUUGAGAAAAUGCCCCAUUCACCAUCGAUAGAGAUUAACACAUCCUUUUGAUGAGAGUAACAUUAAUCAUAGAACUAAGGGAAUGCAGGGAAAAGGGGUUGUCUACUGAAGAUGGCAGAACAAAGUGAGUUGAGAUGUUAUGCUGGUGAGCAGUAAGAUUAGCAUAUUGCCAAAAGGUGUUAUGGGAGUACAGGUGAAGUCCUGUGGUUAGUGUUGGUGCCAGGAGAUACAGAGCCAUAGGUACUAUCAAGACUAGAUAAUAGAGGAGUGGUUUCAUUAGGAGGAUCAAUUUGUAUUUGUUUCCAAGUCUAAUACAAUAAAAUGUGUAUGUGUUAAGUUAAGACGAGAAGAGGCCUCCUAGGGGCUGGUUGACUGUGAAUUUUCUUCUGUCUAGGGUGAGUUUGUUCUAGUUGGGCACCUUUCAGUCUACUUGUGUGGAUCCACUAGGGUUGAGAGUCAGUGAAUAUGGUCGUGCGAGUGACACUUAUCACCGUUGUGGGAAGUCCAAAGGCAGCUUCUCCAACUUUCCUGGGGUUGAGGCUUUUCCCAGUACUGCAUCACCUGGGAGAAAGGGAAACACCAGGGUUACCUUUAGUCCACGAGGUUUGAAAUGGUCUGCCCAUUAUGAUUUCAAAAGGAAAUAAUUGAGACUUUGGAUGUGGCGUCAUUCGAAUCUCACAGAACAGCACUGAAGCUGAAUUUGAUGACGGACCAAAAACUGAGUCUGAUGGAGCUCCUUCAUGUCUGUUUUAAGGAGAUAUAAGAAACAGACUUUUCCAGCUUGAAAAAGGUUUUAUUUAUCUUUGAUGGCUUGGAUGAGUGCUGUUUCUCUCCUGAUUUCCAGAACUCAGUGAGAGUGUGUGAUGUGACAGAGUGUCGCUGACAAACCUGAUCACGAGGAGUCUGCUUCCCUAUGCUCUCAUCUGGAUCACCUCCUGACCAGCAGCAGCUGAUCAAAUCCCCUCUGAGUCUGUCAAUCGAGUGACAGAUGUACGAGGGUUCAUUGACCCACGGAAGGUGGAGUACUUCAGGAAGAGGAUCAGUGAUCCAAGCCUGGCCAAUAACAUCAUCACACACCCGAAGUCAUUAAGAAGCCUCUACAUCCCAGUCUUCUGCUGGAUCUCAGCCACUCUUCUAGAGAGAAUGUUGGGGAAGCAGAGGGUGGAGAGAUCCCCAAGACUCUGGCUCAAAUAUUCACACACUUCCUCAUCAUUCAGACAAACAUCAUAAGAGAAAAGUACUCAAAGUAGAUUGAGAUAGAGAGCGAUAAAUUGAUCAAGGGGAGAGAUAUGAUGCCUGGUUAUAGGUUGAUUGAACUUACUCCUCACAGGUGUUCUGGAACCAGAAAACUCUUCGUAAGCAAGGUUUAGGUUAAUCAACCUAGAGUUCACGGAUUAUGUGAUGGAAAGUUAACCUUGCUUUCUGGAACACCCUGAUGUGUCACACAUCAUGUGUGAUGACUGUUGGUGAGUGAAGCUCAUUUAGAGCUGAAGUUUAAGGUUGCAGGACUUACGACUCAACAGGUGCACUCUCUCUCUCGCACACACACUUUAAUAUUUUGGUUUAUAUCUAGAGCCGUCUCUGUAUAUGACUCUGAGUAUGUUUUUUUGGUACAGUGGAUCUUUGUGACCGAACACACCAAAGUCAGAGAUGAUAACAUUCCCAUCCCCGGAAUUCCUUCUUAUCUAUUUCCCCUCCCUAUUCUUUUCUGUCCUCUCUACAUAAGCAAGGCCUUUCCACUCUGUAGAAUAGACUGCUGUAGACAUUUUUAUAUUUCUGCUGGUGAUCUAAAGACACUCAAACUGAACGAUAAAGACAUGACGUGAAGAUCAAUCCAGUCUCCUGAUCAUCUUUGCUGAAUGUCUAACAUGGCAACACAGCAUCAGUGUUUUGCUGUUGCUUAUCUCUGUCUCCAUCUUUAAAUACUAUUAGAAUCUUCUGGUCUGGAUUAAACCUAAGAAUAUGGCAAUGCUGUGAGGCAGCACAUCUGAUUUAUUCUGUGAUAUCUGAAAUAUUUAGCCCAUUAUACUAGAAUCCUAUUGGUGGACUUUUGCCUGGUCCAUAAUAUCAUCAUUCAAAAUCUAUUGAUGAAUACACUGGUAGUAAUGUAAUUUGAUUAAUAAACUCAUAAAAUAUCCCACAG